GUUGAACGCUGGCGGCGUGCCUAAUACAUGCAAGUCGAGCGAAGCGGGGACGGGUGAGUAACACGUGGAUGACCUACUCUACGACUGGGAUAAAUUCGGGAAACCGGAGCUAAACCCGAUAAUUAUCGCAGGAUCCGUGCGGCAUUAGCUAGUUGGGAAGGUAACGGAUUACCAAGGCAACGAUGCAUAGCCGACCUGAGAGGGGAAGCGGACACACUGUAACUGAGACGCGGUCCAGACUCAUAUGGGAGGCAGGGGAAGGGACUCGUCCGCAAGGGGCGAAGGCCUGACGGAACAACGCCGCGUGAGGGAUGAAGGUAGUCGGAUCGUAAAAGUCUGUUAUUAGGGUAGCGGUACCAAAUCAGAAAGGAUCGGCUAACUACGUGCCAGCAGCCGCGGUAAUAC
rnacentral:rRNA from 1 species